UUAUAAUUUCGUAUUAAAUCGUUCUGAAUUUAUAUUUGUAAAUCAAACAUCUGUUGUUAUUAUACUCAAUGUCACUGGUUUCUUUAAUACAGACAGUUUUGUUCAGUUUAUUUUUUUUUGCUGCUUCUAGGUUAUGUUUUGCCAUUACUUUGUUUAAUUGAAACAUUAACUUAUUAAGAUAUUUUCACAGUACUUUUUUUUACUAAAUACAUUAGAAGAUAUCAAAGAUUUCUCGAACUGUUGAACAAGCCUUUUUUCACAAAAAUAUGACAACUUUCGUAAUUGUAUUCGUUCAUCUUUUUGUCCAAAAUUAUGCCUGUCGUUUUUUCGGUAAAUUGUUUUAACAUUUUGUCAUGAUUUUGUUGUUUACUGUUGAUGACUAUGUAGUAUUCGAUAGUUGCUUACAUCAUCUUUAUUUUUACUCUUUUGAUAGUUUCCUGAUUGGCAAUAAUACGUCAUCUCGCUUUUAAUGUAAAGCUUAAAUACCUAUACAUUUCGAAGUUCCUUGUGUUUGUUGUUUAUUGUUGAUGACUGUGUAGUGAUCGAUAGUUGCUUACAUCAACUUUAUAUUGACCAAUUUGUUAUGCCUGAUUGGCAAUAAUACGUCAUCUCCC
rnacentral:lncRNA from 1 species